rnacentral:lncRNA from 1 species
GUAUAUUUGUUAAGAGGCUAUUUGCAGAAGGCUUUCGUGGGGUGUCGAGCUGCUGGUUGUCAGUUCCACCUGGCAGAUACGAGCAAACACCUUCCUCUGGGGAGCACGUGGUGGAAGGUGAUGCUGUGAAGAUCCAAUUACACUGCACGAGUUACUUGAAAAAUGGGCAUCAUGUGGAAGAUACCAGAAUACACAGUAGCAAAGAGGUCCUAACUCCAAGAACUUAACUCUGCAGAGAGAGGAUGGGUGAUAAGAACAAGGAAAAGAGUAGGCUGCCAUUUCCAUCUGAAUUGCUAAGAAUGAAAGAAAAGGACAGAGCAGUGUGACUGUAAUGCACUGACAGGAUGGGUUGAGG